CAGUCGCCGCGGUAAUACGUAGGGUGCGAGCGUUAAUCGGAAUUACUGGGCGUAAAGCGUGCGCAGGCGGUUGUGUAAGACAGGUGUGAAAUCCCCGGGCUUAACCUGGGAACUGCGCUUGUGACUGCACAGCUAGGGUAUGGCAGAGGGGGGUGGAAUUCCACGUGUAGCAGUGAAAUGCGUAGAGAUGUGGAGGAACACCGAUGGCGAAGGCAGCCCCCUGGGCCAAUACUGACGCUCAUGCACGAAAGCGUGGGGAGCAAACAGGAUUAGAUACCCCGGUAGUCCCUGUCUCUUAUAC
rnacentral:rRNA from 1 species